rnacentral:rRNA from 1 species
UAUUAUACUAAUAAAUAUAAUAAACCUAAAUUAUUAAUAGUUACAUUCUUUAAAUUUGAAGAAUUUGGCGGUGAUUUAGUCUUGUUAGAGGAACCUGUCUUUGGAUCGAUACACCACGUGGAAUCUUACUCAUUUUAUUUAGUUUAUAUACCGUCAUUAUCAGAUAAUUUUAAAAAAAUUAAUUAUUAAAGUUUAAAAAUUGAAUUAGGUUAAAUUAGAUCAAGGUGUAGCUUAUAGAUGAGUUAAGAUGGGUUACAAUAAACUUUAUUUAUACGGAGUAGUCACAAGAAAAAUACUAUGAAGGAGGAUUUAAUUGUAAUAUAGAUUUAAUAAGUCUAAAAGAUAUAAGCUCUAAAUCAU